GCUGGUUUUCCAGGCAAAUCCGGAAAAUCAAGGCUGAGGCGUGAUGACGAGGCACUACGGUGCUGAAGCAACAAAUGCCCUGCUUCCAGGAAAAGCCUCUAAGCAUCAGGUAACAUCAAAUCGUACCCCAAACCGACACAGGUGGUCAGGUAGAGAAUACCAAGGCGCUUGAGAGAACUCGGGUGAAGGAACUAGGCAAAAUGGUGCCGUAACUUCGGGAGAAGGCACGCUGAUAUGUAGGUGAAGCGACUUGCUCGUGGAGCUGAAAUCAGUCGAAGAUACCAGCUGGCUGCAACUGUUUAUUAAAAACACAGCACUGUGCAAACACGAAAGUGGACGUAUACGGUGUGACGCCUGCCCGGUGCCGGAAGGUUAAUUGAUGGGGUCAGCGCAAGCGAAGCUCUUGAUCGAAGCCCCGGUAAACGGCGGCCGUAACUAUAACGGUCCUAAGGUAGCGAAAUUCCUUGUCGGGUAAGUUCCGACCUGCACGAAUGGCGUAAUGAUGGCCAGGCUGUCUCCACCCGAGACUCAGUGAAAUUGAACUCGCUGUGAAGAUGCAGUGUACCCGCGGCAAGACGGAAAGACCCCGUGAACCUUUACUAUAGCUUGACACUGAACAUUGAGCCUUGAUGUGUAGGAUAGGUGGGAGGCUUUGAAGUGUGGACGCCAGUCUGCAUGGAGCCGACCUUGAAAUACCACCCUUUAAUGUUUGAUGUUCUAACGUUGACCCGUGAUCCGGGUUGCGGACAGUGUCUGGUGGGUAGUUUGACUGGGGCGGUCUCCUCCUAAAGAGUAACGGAGGAGCACGAAGGUUGGCUAAUCCUGGUCGGACAUCAGGAGGUUAGUGCAAUGGCAUAAGCCAGCUUGACUGCGAGCGUGACGGCGCGAGCAGGUGCGAAAGCAGGUCAUAGUGAUCCGGUGGUUCUGAAUGGAAGGGCCAUCGCUCAACGGAUAAAAGGUACUCCGGGGAUAACAGGCUGAUACCGCCCAAGAGUUCAUAUCGACGGCGGUGUUUGGCACCUCGAUGUCGGCUCAUCACAUCCUGGGGCUGAAGUAGGUCCCAAGGGUAUGGCUGUUCGCCAUUUAAAGUGGUACGCGAGCUGGGUUUAGAACGUCGUGAGACAGUUCGGUCCCUAUCUGCCGUGGGCGCUGGAGAACUGAGGGGGGCUGCUCCUAGUACGAGAGGACCGGAGUGGACGCAUCACUGGUGUUCGGGUUGUCAUGCCAAUGGCACUGCCCGGUAGCUAAAUGCGGAAGAGAUAAGUGCUGAAAGCAUCUAAGCACGAAACUUGCCCCGAGAUGAGUUCUCCCUGACUCCUUGAGAGUCCUGAAGGAACGUUGAAGACGACGACGUUGAUAGGCCGGGUGUGUAAGCGCAGCGAUGCGUUGAGCUAACCGGUACUAAUGAACCGUGAGG
rnacentral:rRNA from 1 species